ensembl:misc_RNA Metazoa_SRP Metazoan signal recognition particle RNA
CCUGGGGAUGGUGGCACUUGCCUCAAGGAUUGCUUGAGUCUGGGCAUUCUGGACUGUAGUGUACUAAGUCGAUUUGGUAUCCACACUAAGUUUGGCAUCAGUGUGGUCCAGGCUGCUUAAGGAGGGGUGAACCGGCCCAGACCAGAACCAGAGCAGGUCAAAACUCUGUGCUGAUGAGUAGUGGGAUUGUGCCUGUGAAUAGGCGAGGCAACAUAUCAAGACCCCU